UACGGGGGGGGCAAGCGUUGUUCGGAAUUACUGGGCGUAAAGGGCUCGUAGGCGGCCAACUAAGUCAGACGUGAAAUCCCUCGGCUUAACCGGGGAACUGCGUCUGAUACUGGAUGGCUUGAGGUUGGGAGAGGGAUGCGGAAUUCCAGGUGUAGCGGUGAAAUGCGUAGAUAUCUGGAGGAACACCGGGUGCGAAGGCGGCAUCCUGGACCAAUUCUGACGCUGAGUGAGCGAAAGCCAGGGGAGCAAACGGG
rnacentral:rRNA from 1 species